AUAAACAGUGGAGUCCAUACCACCGGGGAAGAAGAGGUAGUAGCAGUGAAGCGACUGAAGGUGGGGAGCGGACAGGGAGAGCGUGAGUUCCUGACUGGGGUUGAAAUAACGAAGCCGAGUUCAUCACCAGCAUGCCGUGUCUUUGGUUUGGAUACUUCACGCACGAGUUGGUGCCUAACAACACCAACACCUUGGAGUUCCACAUACAUGGUCAUCCUAUGACCAUACAUGGCCAUAUCAAGGGAGCUAACUUGCUUGUGGACUUCGAAUUUGAGGCAAAGGUGAAAACAAACUUAUUUAAUAUAUACUUUAAAGAGUCCGUAUUGAUGUUUCAGACCUCAAUUGGUCGCAUUUGAAAGUAUAAAACUAUACCGAUUUUUUUUUUUAAUAACAAAUCUUCAUGUUUCGACUUGAGAUAUUUGACUUAUAGCAGAUUCGAUCCUUGUAUCUUCGGGAGCUCAAAGCACAUAGCGAUCGGGACCGUGGCUGCAGCUUCGCUGCUUCUUGCUGCGUCCGUCCAAGAGAGUGUCGCCAGACACUGACCGCAAAUUGUAUCUCAACUUGAUCUUCACAGCCACUAUCGUCACCGGAAUCUUCCAGUCAGUCUUACGGUUCUACUUACGACGGGUUUGUCGUGGACUUUUUGACGCACUCGACAAUCGUCGGUAUCAUGAGUGGAGCCGCGAUUACAAUUUGCCCGCAGCAGUUGAAGGGCCUCUUUGGACUGGCUUACUUUCACCACCAAAACGGACAUGAUCUCUGUCAUGCAUGCUGUGUUGAAUAACCCACACGAGGGUCCACCAAGCGGGAUUCCAGUGGUAAAACGGCACCGUUACUCCUACUCCCAACC